rnacentral:rRNA from 1 species
ACACGACUCUCGGCAACGGAUAUCUCGGCUCUCGCAUCGAUGAAGAACGUAGCGAAAUGCGAUACCUGGUGUGAAUUGCAGAAUCCCGCGAACCAUCGAGUCUUUGAACGCAAGUUGCGCCCGAGGCCACCAGGCCGAGGGCACGCCUGCCUGGGCGUCACGC